AUUGAACGCUGGCGGCAGGCUUAACACAUGCAAGUCGAGCGGGGGAAGGUAGCUUGCUACCGGACCUAGCGGCGGACGGGUGAGUAAUGCUUAGGAAUCUGCCUAUUAGUGGGGGACAACGUUCCGAAAGGAAUGCUAAUACCGCAUACGCCCUACGGGGGAAAGCAGGGGAUCUUCGGACCUUGCGCUAAUAGAUGAGCCUAAGUCGGAUUAGCGAGUUGGUGGGGUAAAGGCCUACCAAGGCGACGAUCUGUAGCGGGUCUGAGAGGAUGAUCCGCCACACUGGGACUGAGACGAGGCCCAGACUCCUGCGGGAGGCAGCAGUGGGGAAUAUUGGAAGAUGGGCGGAAGCCUGAUCCAGCCAUGCCGCGUGUGUGAAGAAGGCCUUUUGGUUGUAAAGCACUUUAAGCGAGGAGGAGGCUACCUGGAUUAAUACUCUAGGAUAGUGGACGUUACUCGCAGAAUAAGCACCGGCUAACUCUGUGCCAGCAGCCGCGGUAA
rnacentral:rRNA from 1 species